rnacentral:rRNA from 1 species
UUUACCUACGGGGCGCAGCAGUGGGGAAUAUUGCACAAUGGGGGAAACCCUGAUGCAGCGCCGCCGCGUGAGUGAAGAAGUAUUUCGGUAUGUAAAGCUCUAUCAGCAGGGAAGAAAAUGACGGUACCUGACUAAGAAGCCCCGGCUAACUACGUGCCAGCAGCCGCGGUAAUACGUAGGGGGCAAGCGUUAUCCGGAUUUACUGGGAGUAAAGGGGGCGUAGACGGCAGUGCAAGUAUGAAGUGAAAGGCGGGGGCCCAACCCCCGGACUGCUGUGGAAACUGUGCUGCUGGAGUGCA